CAAUUACCCACUCCCGGCACGGGGAGGUAGUGACGAAAAAUAACGAUACGGGACUCAUCCGAGGCCCCGUAAUCGGAAUGAGAACACUUUAAACCCUUUAACGAGUAUCCAUUGGAGGGCAAGUCUGGUGCCAGCAGCCGCGGUAAUUCCAGCUCCAAUAGCGUAUAUUAAAGUUGUUGCGGUUAAAAAGCUCGUAGUUGGAUCUGUGUCCCACGCUGUCGGUUCACCGUUCGUCGGUGUUUAACUGGCAUGCCCGUGCGGACGUCCUGCCGGUGGAUGCGGUCGGCCGCGGGGCCUCCAGGGGUCCCGCGCGUCGGCGGUCCGAUUCAAUCCUACCGCGGUGCUCUUCACCGAGUGUCGAGGUGGGCCGGCACGUUUACUUUGAACAAAUUAGAGUGCUCAAAGCAGGCAGUGGUUCGCCUGAAUAUUGUGUGCAUGGAAUAAUGGAAUAGGACCUCGGUUCUAUUUUGUUGGUUUUCGGAACUUGAGGUAAUGAUUAAUAGGGACAAACGGAGGCAUCCGUAUUGCGACGUUAGAGGUGAAAUUCUUGGAUCGUCGCAAGACGAACUUAAGCGAAAGCAUUUGCCGAGCGUGUUUUCACUAAUCAAGAACGAAAGUUAGAGGUUCGAAGGCGAUCAGAUACCGCCCUAGUUCUAACCAUAAACGAUGCCAGCCAGCGAUCCGUCGAAGUUCCUCCGAUGACUCGGCGGGCAGCUUCCGGGAAACCAAAGCUUUUGGGUUCCGGGGGAAGUAUGGUUGCAAAGCUGAAACUUAAAGGAAUUGACGGAAGGGCACCACCAGGAGUGGAGCCUGCGGCUUAAUUUGACUCAACACGGGAAACCUCACCAGGCCCGGACACCGGAAGGAUUGACAGAUUGAGAGCUCUUUCUUGAUUCGGUGGGUGGUGGUGCAUGGCCGUUCUUAGUUGGUGGAGCGAU
rnacentral:rRNA from 1 species